GCUUGUCUCAAAGAUUAAGCCAUGCAUGUCUAAGUAUAAACAAAUUUAUAGUGAAACUGCGAAUGGCUCAUUAUAUCAGUUAUAGUUUAUUUGGCGAUAAAAACUACUUGGAUAACCGUAGUAAUUCUAGAGCUAAUACAUGCAUCAUCCCCCAUCUCGGGGUGUAUUUAUUAGAUACAAAACCAAUGCCCUUCGGGGCUCCUUGGUGAUUCAUGAUAACUAUACGAAUCGCACGGCCUUGCGCCGGCGAUGGUUCAUUCAAAUUUCUUCCCUAUCAACUUUCGAUGUUUGGGUAUUGGCCAAACAUGGUUGCAACGGGUAACGGAGGGUUAGGGCUCGACCCCGGAGAAGGAGCCUGAGAAACGGCUACUACAUCCAAGGAAGGCAGCAGG
rnacentral:rRNA from 1 species